rnacentral:rRNA from 1 species
UACGUAGGGUGCGAGCGUUGUCCGGAUUUAUUGGGCGUAAAGAGCUCGUAGGCGGUGUGUCGCGUCGGCCGUGAAAACCUGCAGCUUAACUGUGGGCGUGCGGUCGAUACGGGCAUCACUGGAGUUCGGCAGGGGAGACUGGAAUUCCUGGUGUAGCGGUGAAAUGCGCAGAUAUCAGGAGGAACACCGGUGGUGAAGGCGGGUCUCUGGGCCGAUACUGACGCUGAGGAGCGAAAGCGUGGGGGAGAACAGG